GGCUUAGAGUUUGAUCAUGGCUCAGAUUGAACGCUGGCGGCAGGCCUAACACAUGCAAGUCGAACGGUAGCACAGAGAGCUUGCUCUCGGGUGACGAGUGGCGGACGGGUGAGUAAUGUCUGGGAAACUGCCCGAUGGAGGGGGAUAACUACUGGAAACGGUAGCUAAUACCGCAUAACGUCGCAAGACCAAAGAGGGGGACCUUCGGGCCUCUUGCCAUCGGAUGUGCCCAGAUGGGAUUAGCUAGUAGGUGGGGUAACGGCUCACCUAGGCGACGAUCCCUAGCUGGUCUGAGAGGAUGACCAGCCACACUGGAACUGAGACACGGUCCAGACUCCUACGGGAGGCAGCAGUGGGGAAUAUUGCACAAUGGGCGCAAGCCUGAUGCAGCCAUGCCGCGUGUAUGAAGAAGGCCUUCGGGUUGUAAAGUACUUUCAGCGAGGAGGAAGGCGUUGCGGUUAAUAACCGCAGCGAUUGACGUUACUCGCAGAAGAAGCACCGGCUAACUCCGUGCCAGCAGCCGCGGUAAUACGGAGGGUGCAAGCGUUAAUCG
rnacentral:rRNA from 1 species